UGGGGAAUUUUGGACAAUGGGCGAAAGCCUGAUCCAGCAAUGCCGCGUGUGUGAAGAAGGCCUUCGGGUUGUAAAGCACUUUUGUCCGGAAAGAAAUCCUUGGCUCUAAUACAGUCGGGGGAUGACGGUACCGGAAGAAUAAGCACCGGCUAACUACGUGCCAGCAGCCGCGGUAAUACGUAGGGUGCAAGCGUUAAUCGGAAUUACUGGGCGUAAAGCGUGCGCAGGCGGUUUGCUAAGACCGAUGUGAAAUCCCCGGGCUCAACCUGGGAACUGCAUUGGUGACUGGCAGGCUAGAGUAUGGCAGAGGGGGGUAGAAUUCCACGUGUAGCAGUGAAAAUGCGUAGAGAUGUGGAGGAAUACCGAUGGCGAAGGCAGCCCCCUGGGCCAAGUACUGACGCUCAUGCACGAAAGCGUGGGGGAGCAAAACAGGAUUAGAUACCCUGGUAGUCCACGCCCUAAAACGAUGUCAACUAGUUGUUGGGGGAUUCAUUUCCUUAGUAACGUAGCUAACGCGUGAAGUUGACCGCCUGGGGGAGUACGGUCGC
rnacentral:rRNA from 1 species